rnacentral:rRNA from 1 species
GACGAACGCUGGCGGCAUGCCUAAUACAUGCAAGUCGAGCGAACAGAUGAAGUGCUUGCACUUCUGACGUUAGCGGCGAACGGGUGAGUAACACGUAAGGAAUCUACCUAUAAGCGGGGGAUAACAUUCGGAAACGGGUGCUAAUACCGCAUAAUAUCUUCUUCCGCAUGGAAGGAGAUUGAAAGACGGCUCUGCUGUCACUUAUAGAUGACCUUGCGGUGCAUUAGUUAGUUGGUGGGGUAACGGCCUACCAAGACGAUGAUGCAUAGCCGACCUGAGAGUGUGAUCGGCCACAUUGGGACUGAGACACGGCCCAAACUCCUACGGGAGGCAGCAGUAGGGAAUCUUCCGCAAUGGGCGAAAGCCUGACGGAGCAAUGCCGCGUGAGUGAAGAAGGCCUUCGGGUCGUAAAACUCUGCUAUAAGAGAAGAACAAAUUGUAGAGUAACUGCUACAGUCUUGGCGGUAUCUUAUCAGAAAGCCACGGCUAACUACGUGCCAGCCGCCGCGGUAA